UAACACAGCUGAAAUUUCAAAUCUUUACAGAUUCAAGGACGACACAAAGCAGGACUAGUAACGAGGAAGAUCAAGAUCAAAUUUUUGGAUUCCCGGAGUGAACGAACUCCGGCCAUGCAUAAACAUGGAUGGGUUGGGCGCGGAGCGCGAGUAUCAAAGUCAUUAGCUAGUUAGUUAGUUUAUCUUUCUUUGAUGUCGAUGAACAUUUGAAGAUCUUGUAAUUGACCCAAAUUGAUUAUUUGGACAUGUUGGAUUUGUCAAUUUGAAUUAAUUAAUUAGUUGUGGAUUUA